rnacentral:misc_RNA from 1 species
GAUGAAGAACGCAGCGAAAUGCGAUAAGUAAUGUGAAUUGCAGAAUUCAGUGAAUCAUCGAAUCUUUGAACGCAAAUUGCGCCCGCCAGUAUUCUGGCGAGCAUGCCUGUUCGAGCGUCAUUUCAACCAUCAAGCCCCAGGCUUGUGUUGGAGCCCUGCGGCUGCCGCAGCCUCCCAAAACCAGUGGCGGGCUCGCUAUCACACCGAGUGCAGUAGUUUACUCUUCGCUCAGGGCGUGUGGCGGGUGCUAGCCGUGAAACCCCCAACUUCUCAAGGUUGACCUCGGAUCAGGUAGGAAUACCCGCUGAACUUAAGCAUAUCAAUAAGCGGACGA